ensembl:lncRNA
CUGAAAGACGCUUGUUUGAGCCGUGAGGAGGAUUCUGUGCACGAUGACCUUUGACCCUGUAAACAGCUCAGACUGAGACUCAGUCGACCAGUCAGACUGGACUUUGCUGGUGACGUGAGGACACACCCUCUGUGAUGAAGAACAACAAGCUCUAACAAGCUGCGUCACCUGGAAGCUGAAGUGAAGCACGGAGCUCCUUUUCUACACGGACCUGCUGAGGACAGAAGAGAGCUGCUCACUGAGGAACUUCAUGUCUACAAGAUCAUCUUCAGUUUUUCUCUCAUUGAUCAGCAGCUUGUAGUCGACCUUUUACUAACUGAUCACAUGGUGAAGUGAACCGUCCAUCAGGAGAGAGCUUUCCCAUGUUGCCAUGGUAACCAGUGUGUCACCUUACUGGUCUGUUUCACUGACUUCUGGACUCUGAAGGACAUCAAGAGGAGAAACAGCACAGCGCCAUCUGCUGGAAGACGAGUGAUCAUGUUCACCUGGUAAAACACGACAUUUACAGGAUGAGCGUUUAUAAUGACGUCUCCUGUUAACAGGGUUUAAAGAAGGAAAAGGACGUUCGUCUUUCUCCAGAA